rnacentral:tRNA from 1 species
GCCGGGGUGGCGGAACUGGCAGACGCACGCGACUCAAGAUCGCGCGGAGAAAUCCAUAAGGGUUCGAUUCCCUUCCUCGGCA